rnacentral:rRNA from 1 species
AACGAACGCUGGCGGCAUGCCUAACACAUGCAAGUCGAACGAGACAUUCGGGUCUAGUGGCGCACGGGUGCGUAACGCGUGGGAACCUGCCCUUAGGUUCGGAAUAACUCCCCGAAAGGGGUGCUAAUACCGGAUAAUGUCUUCGGACCAAAGAUUAAUCGCCUUUGGAUGGGCUCGCGUUGGAUUAGCUAGUUGGUAGGGUAAAAGCCUACCAAGGCGACGAUCCAUAGCUGGUCUGAGAGGAUGAUCAGCCACACUGGGACUGAGACACGGCCCAGACUCCUACGGAAGGCAGCAGUGGGGAAUAUUGGACGAUGGGCGAAGGCCUGAUCCAGCAAUGCCGCGUAAGUGAUGAAGGCCUUAGGGUUGUAAAGCUCUUUUACCCGGGAUGAUAAUGACAGUACCGGGAGAAUAAGCUCCGGCUAACUCCGUG